GUUAUAAUAAAAUAUGAUUAUUAUUUUAGAGCCUUCAACAUCGGCAUCGGGACGUGGCCUCCAAAGACCUUCCUCUCCCUCUCACUCGCCCCAACCUGCAGAGACCUCAUCAUCCAGCUCCUCGUCUGCUGGACCCACGACAUCCACCGGUCACACUCCUGAAGACAUGGAGACAGUUUGAGAGUGUGGCCGGUGCAGGGAAGCCGACCCUCCCGAGAGCUCCGAGGGACUGGUAUCACACCACGUGUGUGGGCUGGGACGAGGAGCUGGAU